rnacentral:rRNA from 1 species
GUAAGCCUACGGGGGGCAGCAGUGGGGAAUAUUGCACAAUGGGGGAAACCCUGAUGCAGCGACGCCGCGUGAGUGAAGAAGUAUUUCGGUAUGUAAAGCUCUAUCAGCAGGAACGAGACAAGACGGUACCUGACUAAGAAGCCCCGGCUAACUACGUGCCAGCAGCCGCGGUAAUACGUAGGGGGCAAGCGUUAUCCGGAAUCACUGGGUGUAAAGGGAGCGUAGACGGCUGAGCAAGCCUGACGUGAAAGGCGGGGGCACAACCCCUGGACUGCUUUGGGAACUGUACGGCUG